GCAAACUUGGUCAUUUAGAGGAAGUAAAAGUCGUAACAAGGUCUCCGUUGGUGAACCAGCGGAGGGAUCAUUAAAAAAAAAAGAGUGAAAACUCACUAAACCCCCUGUAAAUUAUACUUUUUUGGUUGCUUCGGCAGGCGGCCCCAGGGCGGGGUCUGCAGCUCCUUCGAGUGCCUGCCGACAGCGCAUUUAGACCCGUUCUAUAUGGUAAUUCUGAGCAAAAACAAGAAAAACACAAAAAACUUUCAGCAACGGAUCUCUUGGUUCUGGCAUCGAUGAAGAACGCAGC
rnacentral:misc_RNA from 1 species